UGUGCGUCACUGUGACGCGGCACCUGGGCGCGGGGCCGCGGGGGCAGGGAGCACCUGCGGGCGCCGGCGGGUGUGCUGGAGGGCGUCUGGGGCUCGUCUCCCGUCCCGACCCUGGCGAGGCUGGGCGGCGGCUGACGUUGCAGACAAGGAUGAAAAUGCCAGCCUUUAACUACUUGUUUGCAACUAGUGAACUAGAAGACACGGAAGACAUUGCCCAGCAUUGAAUCCCAACCACGUUCCAGAAAGCCAUGUGGCCUUAGAAAGCUAUUCUUUGAAUAUCCCUGAUGAACACAGAUGCAAAAAUACUCAACAGAAUAUUAGC